CAUAGCCGCGGGAAUACGAAGGGGGCUAGCGUUGUUCGGAUUUACUGGGCGUAAAGCGCACGUAGGCGGAUCGAUCAGUCAGGGGUGAAAUCCUGGAGCUCAACUCCAGAACUGCCUUUGAUACUGUCGAUCUCGAGUCCGGAAGAGGUGAGUGGAACUCCUAGUGUAGAGGUGGAAUUCGUAGAUAUUAGGAAGAACACCAGUGGCGAAGGCGGCUCACUGGUCCGGUACUGACGCUGAGGUGCGAAAGCGUGGGGAGCAAACAGGAUUAGAUACCCCCGUAGUCCCUGUCUCUUAUACA
rnacentral:rRNA from 1 species